GGAGGCGGCCGCUAUCAGGCUCCGACUAAGCCAUGCAAGUCUUACGGGGGCUUCGGCCUCCGUGGCGGACGGCUCAGUAACACGUGGCCAACCUACCCUCAGGACUGGGAUAACCCCGGGAAACUGGGGCUAAUCCCAGAUAGGUGCGGUCUCCUGGAAUGGGUCCGCACCCAAAGGGGGCUCUGCCCCGCCUGAGGAUGGGGCUGCGGCCGAUCAGGCAGUUGGUGGGGUAACGGCCCACCAAGCCUGUGACCGGUACGGGCUGUGGGAGCAGGAGCCCGGAGAUGGGGACUGAGACAAGGCCCCAGGCCCUAAGGGGCGCAGCAGGCGCGAAAAUUCCGCAAUGCGGGAAACCGUGACGGAGGGAGCCUGAGUGCUGCCUAAUGGCAGCUGUGGCCGGGUGUAAAAAGCCCGGUCUAGCAAGGGGAGGGCAAGGCUGGUGCCAGCAGCCGCGGUAAAACCAGCUCCUCGAGUGGCCGCCACUUUUAUUGGGCUUAAAGCGUCCGUAGCCGGCCUGGUAAGUGCCUGGUUAAACCCAGCAGAAAACUGCUGGAUUGCCAGGCAUACUGCCAGGCUAGGAGGCGGGAGAGGCCGAGGGUAUUCCCGGAGUAGGGGUAAAAUCCUGUAAUCCCGGGAGGACCACCAGUGGCGAAGGCGCUCGGCCAGAACGCGCUCGACGGUGAGGGACGAAAGCCAGGGGAGCGAAGGGGAUUAGAUACCCCCGUAGUCCUGGCCGUAAACGAUGCAGACUAGGUGUUGCACCGCUCUCGGGGCGGUGCAGUGCCGAAGGGAAACCGUUAAGUCUGCCGCCUGGGGAGUACGGCCGCAAGGCUGAAACUUAAAGGAAUUGGCGGGGGAGCACUACAAGGCGUGAACGCCUGCGGUUUAAUCGGAUUCAACGCCGGAAACCUUACCGGGGGAGACAGCAGGAUGAAGGUCAGGCUGAAGACCUUACCAGACGAGCUGAGAGGUGGUGCAUGGCCGUCGUCAGCUCGUGCCGUGAGGCAUCCUGUUAACUCAGGGAACGGGCGAGACCCGCAUCCCCAGUUGCUAAUGGACCCCGAAAGGGGUUCAUGCAAACUGGGGAGACCGCUGCCGUUUAAGGCAGAGGAAGGAGCGGGCGACGGCAGGUCGGUAUGCCCCGAAACCCCCGGGCCACACGCGGGCUGCAAUGGCAGGGACAGAGGGAUCCGACCCCGAGAGGGGAAGGUAAUCCCUAAACCCUGCCGUAGUUAGGAUCGAGGGCUGCAACUCGCCCUCGUGAAUAUGGAAUGCCCAGUAACCGCGUGCCACCAUCGCGCGGUGAAUACGUCCCUGCUCCUUGCACACACUGCCCGUCAACUCACCCGAGUUGAGCUUAGCUGAGGCGGGUCGAGUUGGCUCCGUAGAAGCUAAGCUCGACGAGGGGGG
rnacentral:rRNA from 1 species